UACGGAGGAUGCAAGCGUUAUCCGGAAUGAUUGGGCGUAAAGCGUCCGCAGGUGGCUGUGUAAGUCUGCUGUCAAAGAGCAAAGCUCAACUUUGUAAAGGCAGUGGAAACUACACGGCUAGAGUGCGUUCGGGGCAGAGGGAAUUCCUGGUGUAGCGGUGAAAUGCGUAGAGAUCAGGAAGAACACCGGUGGUGAAGGCGCUCUGCUAGGCCGCAACUGACACUGAGGGACGAAAGCUAGGGGGGCGAAUGGG
rnacentral:rRNA from 1 species